GACGGCAGCACAGGAGAGCUUGCUCUCUGGGUGGCGAGUGGCGGACGGGUGAGGAAUACAUCGGAAUCUACUCUGUCGUGGGGGAUAACGUAGGGAAACUUACGCUAAUACCGCAUACGACCUACGGGUGAAAGCAGGGGAUCUUCGGACCUUGCGCGAUUGAAUGAGCCGAUGUCGGAUUAGCUAGUUGGCGGGGUAAAGGCCCACCAAGGCGACGAUCCGUAGCUGGUCUGAGAGGAUGAUCAGCCACACUGGAACUGAGACACGGUCCAGACUCCUACGGGAGGCAGCAGUGGGGAAUAUUGGACAAUGGGCGCAAGCCUGAUCCAGCCAUACCGCGUGGGUGAAGAAGGCCUUCGGGUUGUAAAGCCCUUUUGUUGGGAAAGAAAUCCAGCCGGCUAAUACCUGGUUGGGAUGACGGUACCCAAAGAAUAAGCACCGGCUAACUUCGUGCCAGCAGUCGCGGUAAUACGAAGGGUGCAAGCGUUACUCGGAAUUACUGGGCGUAAAGCGUGCGUAGGUGGUCGUUUAAGUCCGUUGUGAAAGCCCUGGGCUCAACCUGGGAACUGCAGUGGAUACUGGGCGACUAGAGUGUGGUAGAGGGUAGCGGAAUUCCUGGUGUAGCAGUGAAAUGCGUAGAGAUCAGGAGGAACAUCCAUGGCGAAGCAGCUACCUGGACCAACACUGACACUGAGCACGAAAGCGUGGGGGAGCAAACAGGAUUAGAUACCCUGUAGUCCACGCCCUAACGAUGCGAACUGGAAUGUUGGGUGCAUUUGGCACGCAGUA
rnacentral:rRNA from 1 species